CCAAAAACAUAAACAUAACCUCUGACUCAACAUCUGGUGAAUUAAAUAAUAUUUAUCAGCCUAAACAAUGUCUAAUUUAACGGAAGAUGAUUACUGGAAAGAAAGUAGACUCUCCGGAUUUUCGUUCGACGAUGAUGUCAAAGAGGAAACUGUUGAUUACAGUGAUGACACAAACGAAACAUUGUUUUACAACUCCUUGCAUAAUACAACAACACUCCCAAUACAUUCUGUUAUUUCAAAAAAGGGAUUAGAUUGCAUUUUGCAAGAUACAAAACUUGCAGCCCGACACAGUGCCCCUGUUGUGGAGGAAACUAUUAAAAAAUUAUUCCUUGGCGUUCCUUGCGUUCUUGACCAUUAUAGAGAUUUAGAACAAAAGCUUGAGCUCCUUCAAAAAGCUUGUGAGACUUUUGAUGGUAAUGUUAUAUUAAAGGUUGUUUUAUUUUUGAGAAGAACUCUUAAUGACACAAACUUUCAUUACCACAUUUCCAAGCAUAAAAUAGCUUUAAAUCAAUACACAAAUUAUUUGAUUAGUCAAUAUAAAUUCCCGGAAUUACACACUGUUUAUAUGGCCACCGGAAGCACAAACGAAUUGAUAAACACUUUUUAUUUGCCAGCGAGAAAUUACACAAGUAUAAGAAAAACCAAAGAAGAGAUAGGCAACUUUUUUAACAGCCUUGGUAGUAUAGUUUCAGCGUUUAAUAAAACCACCUUAACCCAAUACCAAACCUUCUUAGAUUAUUUAAUAAAAUACAACCUAACAUCAGAUAGUCCGAUUGAGUGCUUAUUAAAUUUAUUUAAAGAAAAUGUACAGAAUAAAGUUUCAUCGCAAGAUAUCGUUUUGUAUUGCAACAGUUUAAAAAUUGACACAAUUCAACAACAUUGGAUAAAAAUAAACGUUUUGGUGACGUCUGAUUUGUGGGAAAAAUUAUUGCAGGAAUUCGUUAAACCGAACGCUUUUAUGAAAAAAAUUAAAUGCGAUGUUGAUGUAGACACUUUAGUCACCGCUUUACACCAACACGGGGCUCCUAAACACAUUUUGUGCCAAUUUCUACAAGGUAUGAGUGACGCAGAUCGCGGAAUGCAUCUUGGAAAGAAAUAUCAGUGUCACAAAUUUGUUAUUGAGAAAUUGGUAGAAAAUCGCGAUAGGGAAGCUUUAAUUGAGUACAAAAAAUGUAUUCCUGCCCAAAGUGAAGAGUAUUUUUAUUUGGAAAAAGAGUUAUUAUCGGAUAAAAAAUGGAAAACAAAACGAAGGAGUAUGAUUUGAUGUAAAAUUCCUGUUUUAAUUAGUGUUGGUGGUAAUAGAUGGCGUUAUGUGCUUUUAAGUGUACGGUGUUUCUCGGUGAAAUUUUGGUAUGCGAUGGUCGUCGGGUUGAGAGAUGACCAGGAAGCGAUGAUUUUUUAUUGAUGCGGGGGACCUUCGUCGCAUACGACGAAGAACGUACGAGUCUCUCGCGCCGACACCGGAUCGCACACGCCCUUUGCCCAAUACACGUCCUAAUCGAUACAGUCGCGGCCUGUAUCUGGAUUGCUUCACCACAUAUUGCCAUAUUUAAUGACAGGCUAGAGUACUCAGAUGAAGAGCGGUAGAUACAGCGGGCGGGUCCGUGGGAAAGUAGCUGUAUACCCCUCGGCUUGAGGUCACGCGUUGACCCCGGCCGCCCGGGCCCCCGCCGCCCCGCGAUGUCCACCUUACCGAUAUAGAUCCACCCAGGCCGCCUCAACUAGCCCCGUUCCGGGCCCGGCUCCGUUCUUGCGCCGGGUGCCCCAGCGCCAAAAAGGCCUAAAAGAAAUCUCGGCCGACGCGGCCGCCCGCCCGACCGUACGUUCUGACCGCGGACCACCGAGAACCAGAAACAAAUCGGCCCAAUAAUUAUCUAUUACACUACAUGUAAUUUUUUGUUAGUCACUCUCACGCGACCAAUUUCUUUCAACGCUCGUUCAAAACGAAACAAAUCUUUUCUAUCAUUUAAAACUCUUCAUGUGUACUGUAUGAAUCUAUAACCUUGUCUAUAAAACUAUAGCUAUUCAACAAGCUUUAGUUAGUGGUCAUGAUGCGAAGAUGGCGGUAUACAUAAUGUGCAUAUUAUUUAUGAAUAAUUCAUAAAAUUUUCAAUGUUCACACUAUCUUGCAAUCUUUAUAAAGAGUCCAGAUUCACCUAGAAGGUUGAGUCAACCUACUUUGUUGUGAUAAAUAAAUAUUAUAAAAAAGUA
rnacentral:misc_RNA from 1 species